CACGUAGGGCGCAAGCGUUGUCCGGAAUUAUUGGGCGUAAAGAGCUCGUAGGCGGCCUGUUGCGUCCGCUGUGAAAGCCCGGGGGCUUAACCCCCGGGUCGGCAGUGGAUACGGGCAGGCUAGAGGUAGGUAGGGGAGAAUGGAAUUCCCGGUGGUAGCGGUGAAAUGCGCAGAUAUCGGGAGGAACACCGGUGGCGAAGGCGGUUCUCUGGGCCUUACCUGACGCUGAGGAGCGAAAGCGUGGGGAGCGAACAGG
rnacentral:rRNA from 1 species